CGGGGGGGGGGGAGGUUGGGGGGGACGACAAGAGACUAUGGUUCUCCAUCCCCCCACCUUCCGCCAUUCGUCUUCCCACCCCCAGCACUGUCCUGCCCAGACGCCAGCCUAGGGAGGGGUGAGGAGGAGGCUGCACUGGCGCUCGGGUCGCCGCACCGCCCCGCAGCCGCGCGCUCUCCGCAGUGACAGCAACCGCAACUGCAGCAGCACCCAGCUCCAUCCUCACCAGCCUGGACCGAGCCCUAGCCCGGCAGUUCCGGCUGAGGACCAGAAGCAGAAGGUGUGCAGGUGCCCCGAGCCCCCACUCCAUUGACCGAAGCGCAAGAAACCCGGAGUGGGCUAGAUGCGGUACUGCACCAAGGGGACUGAGAAAAAGAGGACUGGAAAACAUGAAGCGAUUCAGACGGGGUAGGAUUGAGCCUCAGAGUCCGCACAGAGGACUUUGGCAGGGCCUGGGGCAGCAAGGGUGGCUUCAAGGAAUCGGAGGGUUCUGACCACUGCAGAUGCGGCUCAUGUGGGUGCGGCGAAAGCACCCACUUCUCCCAGGAUCUAAACGGAUAAACGGAAGCGAGUAUGUGGCUUCUCUUAGCUGAAUAAUCCGUUAAAGGAAUAAUAAUUUUUAAAAAGGACUUCGGCCUCACCCAACGAGGACAGUGAAGGAGAUCAGCGCCUGAUCUGCCGUUGGUUUGGACUGGCUGAGACGCUGCGGGCUGCAACCAGUGUCUUUUAAGGGAGAACAAAAAGAUGAGGAUCUUGUGCGGGGCUCCGGGACAAAGCGUCUUGGGCCCGGUGACAAGGGUCACGCGGAACUCUGGCUCCCGGACUGAAGAGAUCAACGCUGCCCAACGGUACCCAGCAGGACCUGCGGACCUCUGAGGCGAGAGGACCGCAGCAGGAGAGUUCCGGAAGGCUGAUUCCCACAGAUCCUGGUAAGGGACCACUGCGGCUCUGCCCUGCGGCACGCCCGGCCAGGCUGCACCAGGACUCUACACUCUAGGAAAAAGCUUGGAAACGAAAGGAUGCGGGAGAACAAAGAGCCUACGGAGGACGUGGCUGUUAUCUCAUUGUCUGUGACUGGGGGAGCUGCGGUAGGAAGGAUGCGGUGGUCCUUAGCUCAUCGCGUUCCCCAAACCCCACACCCUCUCUGCUGUCAGUGCGCACGCACACGCACGCGUCGCCAGCUCUUUUUUUUUCUCAUCCCUCGUUUUUUUCAUUUCAUCUUCUCCCCAUC
rnacentral:sRNA from 1 species